GGAAAAACGUGCAGCAGCCCUCUCUCGUCUGAUCAGAUGCACAAGGCCGGAACAAACUCACUAAAGCCAUCAGUCAGGGCUCUGAACCUUCAAGGUUCCUAGGCUGUGAUAAUUUCAGCUCACAGGACUGAGAUAGCUGGUUGAAGGUGAAGAGAAGGAUAAUGAGAUUUGGCCGAUGACAUCUCUGGGAAUACCACUUUCUGACUCAUUGGAUAACAAACCAACCAACGCUGAGGUGGUCAGACUGCUAACGCGCUUCCAUGUGCGCGAGCUUCACGGCAAUUUGCCCUUCCGUGUGAUGAAUCAAGACUGACGUAAUCACCUACUCCGGCAG